rnacentral:rRNA from 1 species
GUGGGGAAUUUUGGACAAUGGGCGCAAGCCUGAUCCAGCAAUGCCGCGUGCAGGAAGAAGGCCUUCGGGUUGUAAACUGCUUUUGUACGGAACGAAACGGUCCUGGCUAAUAUCCGGGGCUAAUGACGGUACCGUAAGAAUAAGCACCGGCUAACUACGUGCCAGCAGCCGCGGUAAUACGUAGGGUGCGAGCGUUAAUCGGAAUUACUGGGCGUAAAGCGUGCGCAGGCGGUGCUGUAAGACAGGCGUGAAAUCCCCGGGCUCAACCUGGGAAUUGCGCUUGUGACUGCAGCGCUGGAGUGCGGCAGAGGGGGAUGGAAUUCCGCGUGUAGCAGUGAAAUGCGUAGAUAUGCGGAGGAACACCGAUGGCGAAGGCAAUCCCCUGGGCCUGCACUGACGCUCAUGCACGAAAGCGUGGGGAGCAAACAGGAUUAGAUACCCGUGUAGUCC